GACGAACGCUGGCGGCGUGCUUAACACAUGCAAGUCGAACGGAAAGGCCCUGCUUUUGUGGGGUGCUCGAGUGGCGAACGGGUGAGUAACACGUGAGUAACCUGCCCUUGACUUUGGGAUAACUUCAGGAAACUGGGGCUAAUACCGGAUAGGAGCUCCUGCUGCAUGGUGGGGGUUGGUAAGUUUCGGCGGUUGGGGAUGGACUCGCGGCUUAUCAGCUUGUUGGUGGGGUAGUGGCUUACCAAGGUUUUGACGGGUAGCCGGCCUGAGAGGGUGACCGGCCACAUUGGGACUGAGAUACGGCCCAGACUCCUACGGGAGGCAGUAGUGGAGAAUCUUGCGCAAUGGGCGGAAGCCUGAUGCAGCAACGCCGCGUGCGGGAAGACGGCCUUCGGGUUAUGAACCGCUUUCGCAUGUGACGUGGCGUGCGUGACGGUAAUGGGUAAAGAAGCACCGGCUAACUACGUG
rnacentral:rRNA from 1 species